rnacentral:piRNA from 1 species
UCAGUUUGGAGGCUUGCCCAGUGUUGA